GCUACGGGUGGCAGCAGUGAGGAAUAUUGGUCAAUGGACGCAAGUCUGAACCAGCCAUGCCGCGUGCAGGAAGACUGCUCUAUGAGUUGUAAACUGCUUUUGUACGAGGGUAAACUCAGAUACGUGUAUCUUUCUGCACGUAUCUUACGAAUAAGGAUCGGCUAACUCCGUGCCAGCAGCCGCGGUAAUACGGAGGAUUCAAGCGUUAUCCGGAUUUAUUGGGUUUAAAGGGUGCGUAGGCGGUCGGAUAAGUCAGAUGUGAAAGCCCGAGGCUCAACCGUGGAAUUGCCUUUGAUACUGGUAGGCUAGAGAGUAGUUGCGGUAGGCGGAAUGCAUGGUGUAGCGGUGAAAUGCUUAGAGAUCAUACAGAACACCGAUUGCGAAGGCAGCUUACCAAGCUACGUCUGACGUUGAGGCACGAAAGCGUGGGGAGCAAACAGGAUUAGAUACCCCUGUAGUC
rnacentral:rRNA from 1 species